UACGUAGGGUGCGAGCGUUAAUCGGAAUUACGUGGGACGUAAAGCGUGCGCAGGUCGGUUUUGUAAGACAGGCGUAGAAACGUCCCCGGGCUCAACCUGGGAAUGGCGUUGGAGACUGCAAGGCUUGAAUCUGGCAGAGGGGGGUAGAAUUCCACGUGUAGCAGUGAAAUGCGUAGAGAUGUGGAGGAACACCGAUGGCGAAGGCAGCCCCCUGGGUCAAGAUUGACGCUCAUGC
rnacentral:rRNA from 1 species